rnacentral:rRNA from 1 species
GACGUAGGUGGCGAACGUUAUCCGGAAUCAUUGGGCGUAAAGGGUGCGUAGAUGGCAUGAUAAGUUAUUAGUGGGAAAUCGAGGCUCAACCUCGUGGAAGCUAGUAAUACUGUUUUUGCUUGAGUACAGAAGAGGUUAACGGAACUCCAUGUGGAGCGGUAAAAAUGCGUAGAUAUAUGGAAGAACACCAAUAACGGCGAAGGCAGUUAACUAUUCUGUUACUGACAUUGAGGCACGAAAGCGUGGGGAGCAAAACGG